GGUGGCGUUCAUACCUGCACUACAGCACCGAAUUCCAUCAGAAC
rnacentral:rRNA from 1 species